rnacentral:rRNA from 1 species
CCUACGGGUGACAGCAGUGAGGAAUAUUGGUCAAUGGGCGCGAGCCUGAACCAGCCAAGUAGCGUGAAGGAUGACUGCCCUAUGGGUUGUAAACUUCUUUUAUCAAGGAAUAAAGUCAGGCACGUGUCCCUUGUUGUGUGUACUUUAUGAAUAAGGAUCGGCUAACUCCGUGCCAGCAGCCGCGGUAAUACGGAGGAUCCGAGCGUUAUCCGGAUUUAUUGGGUUUAAAGGGUGCCUAGGUGGGUUGUUAAGUCAGUUGUGAAAGUCUGGGGCUCAACCGUAAAAGUGCAAUUGAUACUGGCGGCCUUGAGUAGAGUUGAGGUAGGCGGAAUGCGUGGUGUAGCGGUGAAAUGCUUAGAUAUCACGCAGAACUCCGAUUGCGAAGGCAGCCUACUAAACUGCCACUGACGUUGAUGCACGAAAGUGUGGGUAUCAAACAGGAUUAGAUACCCUAGUAGUC